rnacentral:tRNA from 1 species
GGCGGCCGGUGCGGGCACGGUCCUGUUCGCCGGGAUGGUCGCCGGCCGGCCGGUGAUGACCGUCGGUCACGCCGACGGGCUGCGG